ensembl:snRNA U6 U6 spliceosomal RNA
GUGUUUGCUUUAGCAGCACGUACUCUAAAAUUGGUAUGACACCAAGAUUACCCUGGCCCUGCACAAGGAUGACAUGUGAAUUUAUGAAGCGCUCCCUAUUUUU